GGUCCACAUAGCUCGAUGGUUUAGAGCACUGGUCUUGUAAGAACAGGGUCGUGAGUUCAAUCCUCACUGGUAUUU